GAACGCUGGCGGCAGGCCUAACACAUGCAAGUCGAACGAGAAGCCCCUUCGGGUGGUGGACAGUGGCAGACGGGUGAGUAACGCGUGGGAACGUGCCUUUCGGUUCGGGAUAACCCAGGGAAACUUGGGCUAAUACCGGAUACGCCCUCCGGGGGAAAGAUUCAUUGCCGAAAGAUCGGCCCGCGUCGGAUUAGCUAGUUGGUGGGGUAAUAGCCUACCAAGGCGACGAUCCGUAGCUGGUCUGAGAGGAUGACCAGCCACACUGGGACUGAGACACGGCCCAGACUCCUACGGGAGGCAGCAGUGGGGAAUAUUGGACAAUGGGCGCAAGCCUGAUCCAGCCAUGCCGCGUGGGUGAAGAAGGCCUUAGGGUUGUAAACCCCUUUCAGCGGGGACGAUAAUGACGGUACCCGCAGAAGAAGUCCCGGCUAACUCCGUGCCAGCAGCCGCGGUAAUACGGAGGGGACCA
rnacentral:rRNA from 1 species